GAAAUGCGAUAAGUAAUGUGAAUUGCAGAAUUCAGUGAAUCAUCGAAUCUUUGAACGCACAUUGCGCCCGCCAGUAUUCUGGCGGGCAUGCCUGUUCGAGCGUCAUUACAACCCUCAGGCCCCCGGGCCUGGCGUUGGGGAUCGGCGGAAGCCCCCUGCGGGCACAACGCCGUCCCCCAAAUACAGUGGCGGUCCCGCCGCAGCUUCCAUUGCGUAGUAGCUAACACCUCGCAACUGGAGAGCGGCGCGUCCACGCCGUAAAACACCCAACUUCUGAAUGUUGACCUCGAAUCAGGUAGGAAUACCCGCUGAACUUAAGC
rnacentral:misc_RNA from 1 species